CAGCCGCCGCGGGAAUACAGAGGGUGCAAGCGUUAAUCGGAAUUACUGGGCGUAAAGCGCGCGUAGGUGGUUCGCCAAGUUGGAUGUGAAAUCCCCGGGCUCAACCUGGGAAUUGCAUCCAAAACUGGCGAGCUAGAGUAUGGUAGAGGGUGGUGGAAUUUCCUGUGUAGCGGUGAAAUGCGUAGAUAUAGGAAGGAACAUCAGUGGCGAAGGCGACCACCUGGACUGAUACUGACACUGAGGUGCGAAAGCGUGGGGAGCAAACAGGAUUAGAUACCCGCGUAGUCCCUGUCUCUUAUAA
rnacentral:rRNA from 1 species